AACGAACGCUGGCGGCAUGCCUAACACAUGCAAGUCGAACGAGACCUUCGGGUCUAGUGGCGCACGGGUGCGUAACGCGUGGGAACCUGCCCUUAGGUUCGGAAUAACUCCCCGAAAGGGGUGCUAAUACCGCAUAAUUUCUUCGGACCAAAGAUUUAUCGCCUGUGGAUGGGCCCGCGUUGGAUUAGCUAGUUGGUAGGGUAAAAGCCUGCCAAGGCGACGAUCCAUAGCUGGUCUGAGAGGAUGAUCAGCCACACUGGGACUGAGACACGGCCCAGACUCCUACGGGAGGCAGCAGUGGGGAAUAUUGGACAAUGGGCGAAAGCCUGAUCCAGCAAUGCCGCGUGAGUGAUGAAGGCCUUAGGGUUGUAAAGCUCUUUUACCCGGGAUGAUAAUGACAGUACCGGGAGAAUAAGCACCGGCUAACUCCGUG
rnacentral:rRNA from 1 species